GAAUAGCUCAGUUGGUUAGAGCGUGGCACUGAUAAUGCCAAGGUUGUGGGUUCCAGUCCCAUGUGGAGCA